rnacentral:rRNA from 1 species
UACGUAGGGUGCGAGCGUUAAUCGGAAUUACUGGGCGUAAAGCGUGCGCAGGCGGUUUGUUAAGACAGAUGUGAAAUCCCCGGGCUUAACCUGGGAACUGCAUUUGUGACUGGCAAGCUAGAGUAUGGCAGGAGGGGGGUAGAAUUCCACGUGUAGCAGUGAAAUGCGUAGAGAUGUGGAGGAAUACCGAUGGCGAAGGCAGCCCCCUGGGCCAAUACUGACGCUCAUGCACGAAAGGCGUGG